rnacentral:rRNA from 1 species
AACGAAGUGAAUUGAAAUAUCUUAGUAACUUUAGGAAAAGAAAUCAAACGAGAUUGUUAUUUAGUGCAAACUAAAUAACAAGAGCCUAUUAACAAAACUUGUUAAAGUAAAAUGGAUUAAAAUCUGUUUGAAUAUAGGGGAACCUUCCUCUAAGGCUAAAUAUGAUAUAUAAGCGAUAGUGAAAAGUACCGUGAGGUAAAAUUUGAAAUAGUAGUUUUAUAAGCAGCUCGAGUGAAAAUUUAAAUAAGUAAUAAGAGUGUACCUUUUGCAUAAUGGGUCAGCAAGUUAAUUUUAGAUGCAAGCAAUGAUUUCGUGCGCUUUGCGCAUGGAACUAGCUUAGAUAAACCAAUUAUGAGAAAAUGAAUAAGUAUCUAGAAUUAGACCCGAAGGCUAGUGAUCUUACCAUGGUCAGGAUUAUAAAAGUCCGAACGGGUUAUCGUUGUAUAGAUAUCCGAAGAAUUGUGGUAAGUUAGUGAAAGACAAAACUGACUAGUAUAGCUGGUUUUCCGCGAAACCUAUAUGAGUAGGUAAUUUAACUAACAUCUUAGCAGGUACAGAACUGUGAUCUCGGACAAUAUCUUUUGAUUUUGUCAACAUCGGGGGGUUGUAGUGACUUUACCGGAGAGUAUUUGCACUCGGAAUGGCAAAGAUGAAUGUUGAAUAAUCGGACAUAGUGCGAUAAGGUUGUAUGUCUAAAGGGAAACAGCCCAGAACAAGAGUUAAGGUUCCAAAAUUAUUGUUGAGUGAAAUUAAGGAUGUUUUUUUUAAAAACAAUCAGGAAAUAGGCUUAGAAGCGGCCAUUUUUUGAAGACCUCGUAACAGAGCACUGAUUAAUUAAAUUUAGAAAAAAACACCGAAAAUUUAACGGAUCUAAACAAUAUACCGAAACCUUGUACACAUAUUUAUAAUAUUAAUAUUGUAUAUGUGGGGUAGCGGAACAUUGGAUAAAUAUUAAUUAUUAUUUCUUCUAAGAAGUAAUAAGUAUGGAUUAUUAUUAAAAAUAUUUAUUUAUUAAAGAUAUUUAUGUAAUAUUAUUAUACCUAAAAGGUAUAAUGUUUAGAUGAAUAUAUAGAUAGAUUAUAUCUGUCUUUAUUAUUAAUAUAAUCCAUCGAUAUAAUCCAAGAGAGAAUGCUGACAUGAGUAACGAAAAAGGAAUAUCCUCGCCUUAAGCUUAUGGUAUUAUAUUUAAUUUUCGGUAUCUAAAAGUAUUAAUCAAAAGGUAAUUUUGAUGAUAUUUAUAUAUAAAUACUUAAAAAUAAAAAACAAAACCUUUAACAAGUAAUAAAGGUUCUGGAAAAUUUUUUAUUUUUAUUAAGUGAAGUAUAAUGCAAUAUAGGUAUAUUAUAAUUUAUAUAAUUUUCUUGUUACAAGUUUUCAAGAUUGUAUAGAUUUUAUCUAUAUUAAAUAUAUUUUCUUUUUUAUACUAUUGUAUAAGUAAGGUUUAUAUAUACCGUACCUAGAUACUAUCACAAGUAAGCAAGUAGAGAAUACAAAGGCGUUUGAGUGAACAAUCAUUAAGGAACUCGGCAAAUUGACUACCGUAACUUCGGGAUAAGGAGGGCCAUUAUGAUUAGUUUAACAUAUCUUAUGAUAUGAUUUAAUUAAACUAAUCAUAAGAGGAAACAUGAAAUAAUGUUGUACGACUGUUUAAUAAAAACACAGCACUCUGCAAAGAUAAAAUAUCAAAGUAUUGAGUGUGAUGUCUGCCCAAUGUCGGCUGGGUAACGGAUUUACCUUGGUUUUUAACUGAGGUUUUGAAGGAUACCCCGAUUAAUGGCGGCCUUACCUAUGAGGGUCCUAAGGUAGCGAAAUACCUUGGCCGUUAAAUGCGGUCCUGCAUGAAUGACUUAACGAUACAACAGCUGUCUCGAUGAUUGUCUCAGUGAAAUUGGAAUAGCAGUGCAGAUACUGUUUACCUCUAGAUAGACGAGAAGACCCUAUGCAGCUUUACUGUUACUAAUUGCAAGAGUGGAAAUUUAGGAUGAUUUCGAGUGUAUAAGGUAGUUGUUUGAUAACAAUGAAACACCUUUAUUCGUUUCCUACUAUAUGCUCUUGAGGAUUGGGAGGCAGUUUAUGCGGGGCACAGAUCCCACAAAAAGUACCUGGGUAUAUCCAAAGUUCAUUUUGUAAAUUUGUAAAUUUCUUUACAAAUAUUUUAAUUUGUUAUAAUUAUAUUCAUAAUUAUACAGUUAUUGUUAGAUUAAGUUCAAUAUUUAUUUUUUAUUUAAGUAAGAUUUUAACUAUAUGGUGAAUAGAUGUAUUUUAAACUUUACCCGGGGAGGGAGUGAUCCAACUCCGGGAUAUUUAAAAGUUUUUUCUCAUAUUAAUAUUGUAUUUUAUCUUUAUUGAUAUGAUAAUUAAUUAUACUUUAAAAGUUUAAUGGCUAAAUCUUGCUUUACUGUUUGACCUACAAGUCUAUCAGUCGCGUAAGCGGGGCAUAUGAUCACAAGAUGCAUAAAGGAAAGGUCUUGGAUUAUAGAAAAAGUUACGCUAGGGAUAACAGGCUAAUUUGCGCAAGAGAGUACAAAUUGAGUGCGCGGUUUGGCACCUCGAUGUCGGCUUAGCUCAUCCACAUGAAUGCAAAAAUCAUGAAGGGUUCGACUGUUCGUCGAUUAAAGAGCUACAUGAGCUGGGUUUAAUACGUCGUGAGACAGUAUGGUUUCUAUCUUCUAGAGGGAAUUAAAGUAGAAUAAAGAUAGCCCCUUCGUACGAAAGGAGUUGGGUAUAUUGACCUAUGGUUUACCUGUUGUUUAUGUUAUAUAUUAUUAUACAUAAUAUAUCAUUUACUUAUACUUAAGUAAAUUGUUCACAUAGGCAUGGCAGGAAGGCUACGUCAGUUAAAGAUAAGUGCUGAAAGCAUUUAAGCGCGAAGCUUACUUUAGGAUACUUUUAAACGUAGUAGAACACUACGA